rnacentral:tRNA from 1 species
GGGGGCGUAGCUCAGCUGGGAGAGCGCUUGAAUGGCAUUCAAGAGGUCAUGGGUUCGAUUCCCACCGUCUCCA